rnacentral:misc_RNA from 1 species
AAAACCAAAAGCCGCCUUCAGCACUGACAUGAGCCGUCGCGUUGUACUUGCAGCACUGCUUAUCGCCUGCUGCACCAGUUUCAGCGGGGGAAAUUCUGAAUUACAUGAGCAGCGUGGGUCGGCUGGACGCACUUCGGAGCCCGAUGUCGCCAGAGCGAAGGUAAGGGAACAUCUGCGGGACAAAGUUGGAAGGGGCAACGAGGAUGUCAAUCCAUCCGGAAAUAUUGGAGACCGAAAUGAAAGGUAUUAGAUUGCGAGACGGAGGGCUACAGUUGUAUUGCGAGGGACGUAUGCAAGAAUUGGAUGUUCAGAGCGUUUUUAUUCGGCUGCAAGGACGACAAAGUGUGCUGCGAGAUGACCAAAGGCACUACCUGCCUCGCAGGAGCCGGAUUCCCUGGAAAGUGCGUGUCCAACGACAGCUCGGUUUACUGCAGCUCCAGGAUACCCAGCAGCGACUGCUCGCUUAGUCAACUUUGCUGCCGACUUUAAAGCAACGGAGGCGCAGCGCGAAUCGGUUGCCAUUCUCCGACAUGAUUAAAGGAUGGUUGCAUGGCACGCACCAAACAGUACAGCCUCGUUAUUUUUUUCUUCUCAGUGACAAAAGCAGCGCGCACAUGGAUGAACCAGAAUAAGGGGCCUUAGCGCUCUCAUUCUCCAGGCAGCAAUGCGAUACUGUAUCUCGGCAAAUUCGUAAUUAUUCGGGCAUUCUUCAAUACCAUGAGCGCCAUUCUCCCAAACGCUUGGUCUUGCCCAACGCAGCCUCUUGCACAAACGAGCUGGCGCCAGUUUGUGCAAGAGACAGUAUUGGGCAAAACAAAGUUAGCGAGGAUACCGUUAAUCGUCGUGAUCAAGAAUGUUUUCAUGGUGCUUAUGCAAGGGUCUGUGUAAUUUGUGCAACGGGAAUCGAUG